rnacentral:rRNA from 1 species
UACGUAGGGGCCUAGCGUUGUCCGGAAUUAUUGGGCGUAAAGAGCUCUUAGGCUGUUCGGCAAGUCGGAUGUGAAAUCUCCCGGCUUAACUGGGAGGGUGCAUUAGAAACUGGAAUGCUAGAGGAUGGGAGAGGUAAGCGGAAUUCCUGGUGUAGCGGUGAAAUGCGUAGAUAUCAGGAGGAACACCUGUGGUGUAGACAGCUUACUGGACCAUUUCUGACGCUGAGACACGAAAGCGUGGGUAGCAAACAGG